rnacentral:rRNA from 1 species
UACGUAGGGCGCAAGCGUUGUCCGGAAUUAUUGGGCGUAAAGAGCUCGUAGGCGGCCUGUUGCGUCCGCUGUGAAAACCCGGGGCUUAACCCCGGGCUUGCAGUGGAUACGGGCAGGCUGGAGGCAGGCAGGGGAGAACGGAAUUCCCGGUGUAGCGGUGAAAUGCGCAGAUAUCGGGAGGAACACCGGUGGCGAAGGCGGUUCUCUGGGCCUGUACUGACGCUGAGGAGCGAAAGCGUGGGUAGCAAACAGG